rnacentral:siRNA from 1 species
AGCUAAAAGGUAGAUAUUCUC